UACGUAGGGUGCUAGCGUUGUCCGGAUUUAUUGGGCGUAAAGAGCUCGUAGGCGGUCUGUCGCGUCGGCUGUGAAAACCCGGGGCUCAACCCCGGGCCUGCAGUCGAUACGGGCAGACUAGAGUGCGGUAGGGGAGACUGGAAUUCCUGGUGUAGCGGUGAAAUGCGCAGAUAUCAGGAGGAACACCGAUGGCGAAGGCGGGUCUCUGGGCCGUAACUGACGCUGAGGAGCGAAAGCGUGGGGAGCGAACAGG
rnacentral:rRNA from 1 species